rnacentral:rRNA from 1 species
UACAGAGGUCCCGAGCGUUGUUCGGAUUCAUUGGGCGUAAAGGGCGCGUAGGCGGUCUUCUAAGUUUGAUGUGAAAUCCCGGGGCUCAACCCUGGAAUUGCAUUGAAUACUGGAGGACUAGAGUACUGGAGAGGAAACUGGAAUUUACGGUGUAGCAGUGAAAUGCGUAGAGAUCGUAAGGAAGACCAGUGGCGAAGGCGAGUUUCUGGACAGUAACUGACGCUGAGGCACGAAGGCCAGGGGAGCAAACGGG